GAUGAACGCUGGCGGCGUGCCUAAUACAUGCAAGUCGAGCGAACAGACGAGGAGCUUGCUCCUCUGACGUUAGCGGCGGACGGGUGAGUAACACGUGGAUAACCUACCUAUAAGACUGGGAUAACUUCGGGAAACCGGAGCUAAUACCGGAUAAUAUAUUGAACCGCAUGGUUCAAUAGUGAAAGACGGUUUUGCUGUCACUUAUAGAUGGAUCCGCGCCGCAUUAGCUAGUUGGUAAGGUAACCGCUUACCAAGGCAACGAUGCGUAGCCGAUCUGAGAGGGUGAGCGGCCACACUGAAACUGAGACAUGGUCCAGACUCCUACGGGAGUCAGCAGUAGGGAAUCUUACGCAAUGAGGGAAAGCCUGACUGAAUAACGCCGCGCGAGUUCUGAAGGUCUUAGGAUCGUAUAACGCUGUUAUUAGAGAAGAACAAUUGUUUAAGUAACUAUGCACGUCUUAACGGUACCUAGGCAGAAAGCCACGGCUAACUACAUG
rnacentral:rRNA from 1 species